rnacentral:rRNA from 1 species
GAUGAACGCUGGCGGCGUGCCUAAUACAUGCAAGUCGAGCGAACGGACGAGAAGCUUGCUUCUCUGAUGUUAGCGGCGGACGGGUGAGUAACACGUGGAUAACCUACCUAUAAGACUGGGAUAACUUCGGGAAACCGGAGCUAAUACCGGAUAAUAUUUUGAACCGCAUGGUUCAAAAGUGAAAGACGGUCUUGCUGUCACUUAUAGAUGGAUCCGCGCUGCAUUAGCUAGUUGGUAAGGUAACGGCUUACCAAGGCAACGAUGCAUAGCCGACCUGAGAGAGUGAUAGGCCACACUAGAACUGAGACACGGUCCAGACUCCUACGGGAGGCAGCAGUAGGGAAUCUUACGCAAUGGGCGAAAGCCUGACGGAGCAACGCCGCGUGAGUGAUGAAGGUCUUCGGAUCGUAAAACUCUGUUAUGAGGGAAGAACAUAUGUGUAAGUAACUGUGCACAUCUUGACGGUACCUAAUCAGAAAGCCACGGCUAACUACGUG